GCCUAGGUGGCUCAGUGGGUUGAGCCUCUGACUUCGGAUCAGGCCAUGAUCUUGGGGUUCGUGGGUUCGCGCCCCGCCUCCAGCU
rnacentral:tRNA from 1 species